CUUGUUCAUUACUGGGUACCUACCCUCUGUGCUUUUCUUGGAUUGUAGUCUGUAUAUUGAAAGCUUAGAGGCUAAUAAUAACCACAUAUAAGAGAAAACAUACUAAAAAUGUAUAUAUUUGUCUUUGGAGGUUCAGGAUGAUUUUUUUUUUGCUACCUCCAUCCAUUUAUCUGAAAUUCCCGUAAGUUCAUUUUCCUUGAUGUUAGCCAUUAAAUAAUAUUCUAUUGUGCAAUCGUAUCAUGUUUCCAUUACCCACUCAUCAUUAUAGCCAGGAACUGGCAACAGCCUAGAAACAGCAUCCUUGAUGAUGGUAGGACAAAGGGGGGGGAAGUGUAUCAGUUAUAAAGGAGCAAGGUGCUCUGAGAAAUGGCCCGGGGACAUCAGGGGUUCCUGUGAGGAGGUGAGAAGCCCAGAGGCAGAGGCAGCUAUGGUAGAAGCAGCCACAGCAGAGGCAGCCACGGGGAGCUGAGAACACAUUGUGAGGGGAGAGAUGAGUCUGUGAGGAAGAAAGGAGGUCAGUUGGGAGAAUGAGUGACUCUGAGGUUGGUCCCAGUGGGAGCUCUAGAGGGCUCGAUAGUCAGCAGCUCCCUCAGGAGCAAGUCAGGUUACUCUAGCCAUGCCACCUACAGAAAGGACCUGUAGCUCAUGUCACCGCCUCAGCCCGCUGGCCACAGAACAGGGCAAUCACAGGUGCCUUUACGGUAGCCGCAGGUCGGCGUAAGACUCAGCCUGAGUAGCUGCUUCUGAGCCACUGGACUGGAGACUUCCAGUUUUAGUUGGUUAAUUGGCUUAUUUGAUUUAAGGCAAGGUUUUGUGUAGACCCGGCUAAGCUAGAACUUACUUUGUAGCUGAGGUUAGCUCUGAACUCCUGAUAUUCAUCUUCUGUGCUCCCAAAUACUGGGAUGAUGGGUGUAUACCACCAGACAAAACUACUCUAGGGUUUCUCCGGUCACUUUUGACACAGACAAUGUAGAAAACACUCGAACAUUGGGAAGAUCUGAAGGAAGGGUCUGUCCUGGGUGCUACCAGGACUUCUUUAAGAUGGGGCCAACCCCCCUAGGAUCCCCAACCCCUGCUGACUCUGCCAGCUGGUAGUGGAGAGGGGUACCAUGGGCAGGUUUGUGUUGCCCUGUGUGUGUCUAAUUAGCACAUUCGUCCACCAUUCAAAUAUUUAAUGAGACUGUUUCUUCCUCUUGACAUCAGGAGUUCUGACGUUUGCUGAACCAACUCAGCAUCUUAAUUAAGGAUUUGUCUCGAUGACUCUUUGUUCCCAAAAGAUUGUGUGGGAGUCGGAAGCCCGAGAAGCAGGCUGUGUUGGGGUCAGAAAUAAUGAUCAUCAACUUAUCGUGAGAACCAAGCACCAGCAGAUCCACACAAACAAACAGGGAAGCUAGAGCAGCAGCAGCACUGCUGGGAGGGAAAACUGGGCAUUGUUAGGCGCUGGCGUUCGGGUCCUAUAUGCUCCCUCCUGCAUAUUCUGAUGGACUUGAGAGAGCAUCCCUGUGUGCAUGCCUCCAAGCCAGAACCUGCUACAGUGACAUUGAUCCUCUUAUCAGUGGGGAGGCCGAGGCUUGGGGUAGAGAGUAACCUGAUAAGGUCCUAUAGCUGAGCCGUAGAAUAUCCCCUCAGGUCUUCCUAACACCCUCAUAGCCUCAGCUUCUCUUCCCACCUGUCCGGGUUACCAUGGAGAUGAGGCCGGACAGUGUAUACCAAAGCUCUUGGUCACUUAGAGAGUGCCAUUGGAACAUCCCUGUUCUGCAGCAAGGCAGGCUAGUGAGGUUCAGCCACUGGGGUGAUGGUGCAGCAAGACACCUUCUGCUCCACAGUGUUUGACACUUCCUGUGUGUCACAGGAACUCUUGGGUGUGGGGAAACCCGGACAGCCAAGAACUGCAUUUCUGGUCAAGAGAUGACUGCUUCAGAGGCAGGAGGUGGGCUGGAGAGGCCUUUUCAGGGCAGGAGACUUGAGUAAGUGGCUUCUUCUCUCUUUCAAAGCAUCUGCAGUGCAAGCACAGCUCCCUGGUUAUGGAAAGUAUUCUAAGCCUUUGUGCUUGACCUUAGAAUGACCCUAAGGUCCUCAUGACCAAAAGUGUGUGCAUGUGUUCACCUAUGACGUUCCUCCAGGGCGUAAGCCAGAGUGGGAGGAAGCCUGGAAGAGUUAAAAAAGAGUGAGCUUUGCUAAUCGCAGCUCAGAAGCGCCUCUCUGAGGUAUAGGGACAGCAAGGCUGAACUUCUGAGACCUCUGGCCUCACCAGCUCAGUCUCCUUGGCCCAGGUUGCCUCUCUUGCAGGUCUCCCCUCGGUCAGUUCUGCGUCUAUGUCCACCAUGAAGUAUCUGGGACCCGGGGGGAUGCUUACCAGCUGCUGAGCAAGAAGGAGCACAGACCCCAUCCUGCUGGCCCAUGAUCAGAUUUCUGUAACUUGGAAUCUUUACAGGCAUAGCUGAAGCGUCAGAGGAUCCAAGCUCAGGCCAGAACGUGAGUGAUGUAGAGAAAAUAGCGCUGUUUUUCAAAGCUGCUUUCCUAGCCGGUUGGUAGUCAAGGCCUCGGAGACCUCCUCGUGAUCGGCAAGAUGGCCGCCUCAACUAGCUGCAGGGUGGUGCGUGGUGAAUGUGGGUUGGCCCUGGAGGGUACUAAAGAAACCCCGCAGCUCAAAAGCACUGUUCACAUGUCUGUCAUGCAGUCUUGGCUCAACAGAGAGGAGGCACCCUGGGCUGCUUACGCCGCCUACCUUUGGGCAUGCGUCCCACCCAAGAGGCCUUUGGGCAUGCGUCCCACCCAAGAGGCCUUUGGGCAUGCGUCCCACCCAAGAGGCCCGGACACUGUUCUCCCUCAUAUCUCCCUGUAGGCUGGACGCCUCUCGCCUGCUCCUUCAUGGCUUUACAGGGAUAUCUGUCUCUCUCCCUCUGUGCUGCACACAGAGAGCAUGCCUUACCAAAUGUUACUUCCAGGAACCUCCAGCCAUUCUCUGGGAUUUAGCCAAGGAGUGGCCAGUUUGUUCCUGGCAUUCCAUGCAGAUCCCCCCUGCCAACCACACCAUCCUGUGUCAAAACCUUUCUGUAUUUGUGUCGAGCAGAAGAGACCCCCAUGUUCUGUGCAUAGAGAAGGUGUCUUUCGCCGCUGUGUCAUGACAUGGCUUUCCGUUCCCAACCUCCAUGCAUCCUGCCCUCAGCUCCAGCCUGGGUCCCCACCUCUAUGACAGCAGCUCCUCCAGAAUGGCGGCUCUGCCUCAGGUGUCCUCACUGCUCAUAGUGCACUUGGCAGUUCCUGCACUGGGAUGUGUAAUGAGGCUAUGAGUUCAUAUUCUGUCUCUGUUGAAGGAGAACAAGCUUUCCGCCCUUCAGGGAACCCACUUCCCCUCUGUACAGGAGAUCACCAUCUUCCGAGCACUGGGUCCUCCAGAUGCUGUAGGCCAGGUAUCCUGGGUAGGAAGCUGCAUCCCUCUGAGUUGGAGUGUGGCUGCUAGGCUCAGGGAUACCUGAGCAGGAAUAAAGCACACCACCACAAUGAUGUCCAAGACUCACACACGGUUGAGACGGCAGUGCCGUAGAACGUCUCAUCCUUGUACCUUAGACCUCAUCUCAACAUUAGCUUCAAGCAGGGCAGACACAGCAGAGGGGCUCCUACCCUCCCUCAGCUACCUGUACCUCCAUGGCAGGAUAUGGUCUCUCUCAGACGUUUUUCAUCCCUCCAUCACUGUCUUCGGCAACUGCACUGCAUACAGUCUGGGCUUAAUACGUGCUUAGCAAGUCUUUGCUGGGAAGCCCCUCUUAAGGUCACAUCUGAUGCACGAGAGUCUGCCUCAGCUGGCUCAGACACUAGCCCGGCAUCCGCCUGUCUUGUGUAAAGGACCCAGGGGUCGCUACGAAGAUGGCUCUUGUCUUUUGACGCUGGAGAGAGAGAAAAGACCACCACAGUUAGACACAAGAAUGGAGGGCCCCUUGUGGCUUUCUGUGUAUGUCUCCCCACCACCACCCCACCAGGAGCUAGCUGUGUCCCCAGAAGCUGCUGCCAGGAGGACUAUGCAUGGGAUGCUCUGGGCAGCCACUGAUGCUAAAAAUGAAAUAAAAAAAAUAAUUAAGAGUUUGGACUCCAAAGGUCGAGGGAUUAAAAAUCCCCUAGGCAAAAAUGAGCCGCAAUCAAAGAGAGCGGGACGUUAUCUGCCCUCCACACAUGCUGCCCUGCCCCAUGCAGCUGGCUUUAAUUAUUGGUAUUUCUUUUUAAGUUAAAGAUGAAUUUGAGACAGCAAUGAACUUCGAAGGUUUAUCUUCCAAUUACAGGGAACCUGUUCAUAAUGAUCACUUAGGGCCGCCGUGGCUUUCCCAUCAGUCAUGGAGGUGGCUGGGAGCCGCGCAGGAGAACAGAGAAGCCACACACAAGAGCCGCCACAUCCUAGAUGAAGCGUGUCCCUGCCACAUCUAUAUCUCUGUGGCCAGGGCCUUAGCUGAAGUGUAUCCUGUCCUCCACACCAAGUCGGCCAUGUGUCACAGUAUCAGGAUUCUCGAGGCACGAGUCUGCUGAGAUCACUGGGGAACCCUCACACCCUCCCCAUCCCAGCUCACCCAUCUGGGCACUCCCUCACCAGAGGUACCAGUUGCCCUAUUUUCUGCCUUUCUAUUCCUUGACACCAUGGCCAUAAUCCGUGUGUGUAGGUAGGACUUUAAUGUAAAAGGCAUUGCCAAACAUGCACUCACCCCACCACCUGGGCCCCAGGGUCCCCAGUAAGCAUAGCCCACAGUUGUGGGGGGCAGGACUAAGAACUUAGGGUCCUCUAACAGUAGUGCCCAUGGCCAUAGCUUGGCACAGGAAACCUGAGCUUAAAGAGGUGACUCUGAUAGACAGUUGCCAGGAUUGAUGACUCUGAUAGACAGUUGCCAGGAUUGAUGACUCUGAUAGACAGUUGCCAAGAUUGAUGACUCUGAUAGACAGUUGCCAAGAUUGAUGACUCUGAUUGACAGUUGCCAAGAUUGAUGACUCUUAUUCACAGUUGCCAAGAUUGGUGGCUCUCAUUGAUAGUUGCCAGGUGACUCUGACUGACAGUUGCCAACAAGAGUGGAGCCAUGGUGCCUGCAGGACUCUCACUGACUGUGGGCCACCGUCUCUGCCCUGGUGCCUCUGUCAUUCUCGUUUGAAAGGAGCUACGCUUGCUGGAAAGUAAUUUAUAUUAUAACUUAAAACUCCCCAAGAGCCCACCACACUCUCAUUGGGUUAGAGAGUGCAAGAGCCAUCCACUGAGCAGAUCAUAGUUCUGUGGUCUGCUCAGUGUUCCUGGAAAUCUGAUCAAAGCAGCCAUGAACACAUGGGGACAACAGGCAGGAAGUGGAGAGCAGGCCAGCAACCACGGUCAGGGCCCUCGUAUACAUGGCGUGAGGCUGCAGCGGAGCGUGCCUCCCCUCCUCUCCAACUCUGUGUCUCUCUUCUCCCUCCCCUUUCUCUUGUUUUUUAAGAAUUUAAACUCUUCUUGGUUAAAUCUCUUUUUCAAGGACUGUCUUUCUUGUGCACUCUGUCCCUUAGAGCUUUCUCAGAACAUCCGAAAUCUGGAGUUUAAGGGGACGUGCACACUGCCCAAAUCACAGAGCCACCAGACUGACUGUCCAAAAGAGGCAGGACAAGUGUUUAACAGACAGUAGACGGAGAGGAAAAUAUACGUCACUAGGGGACAGUCCCACAGGGCAGAAGCCAACAGUGACAGCAAAGGGUGGGAGUGAGGGUGAGCAUUGGCCACCUCCCUUGAACCUAGGAAGGACAAUAGGCCAUCUGCUAUCCAGUCAUAUGUUUUCUGGAGCCUAGAAGGCCCUGCCUCUCUCGGGCAGAGCCCAUGAUGCCCACCCCCUACAUAGAACCUUCCAAAGCUCCCUCUGGUAGCUACAGGGCCUCUUUGAUCAUGGUCUACUAGAAUUUGGAGAGAAUAGUGGGGAGAUCUGAAGUCAGAGAACAGGAAGAGGUGUCCUUCUAUCAGGUGCUUGAGCAGUGGGGACUUGGGGAUAUCUGGAGUUGGAGCAACCUGCAACCUGCAGGCUCCAGCCCACAACUCUUGAAUGGGUACCCCUGUGGUACCUGCAGGAUCUCCCUUCCAGGCAUCUGGGCCCUCCUUAUUCUUGCCUUUUGUCUGUCUGGUCAGAGAGACUGCACCACCCACUCAGGCCCAGGUCAGGCUGAGAAGAAUCCCCUAUGCCAGCCUUCCCCUGUACUCCUGCCCCCUUCACUUCCUGUCCCAGGAUAGGAACCCAACAGAGAUAAUGUUGCCUCCAUAACCUAUGCCUCUGGAGUUUAGUCCAUUAUCACCAUGGUGGGAAGUGUGGUAGCAUGCAGGCAAGCUUGGUGCUGGAGAAGGAACUGAGAGUUCUACAUGUGCAUCAGCAGGCAGCAGGAUGACACAGUGGGUGUGGGCAUUGCAUCCUCAAAGCAUCUGAGAUCUCAAAGCCCACCUCCUCCCCACUUUUCUUCCCUCCUCCCCACUCCCCUCCUUCUCUUCUCCCCAUUGCGCAGCCUGGGCUCCUUUCUGAUCAACCUCAUAUGUCCCCUCUUCUCUUGUGAUUUCCCUCUUCUAUCCUUCCUCCCACAAUGACCCUUUUCUCUCCAUUAAGACCUUAUAAAAUAUUAGCUGCUUUGUUUCUCAGUCUUUAGCACCCAUGACCUUACACGAAUAACGGUAUAUGAGUAGCUGUCAUGUUUACUGAACUCUUGCUGGUGUAAAAGCCAGGCUCUCCUGUGCUGGGAGAGCCUGGAAAAGCAACUGGCUAGAAAGUCGGGUCACAGGCCUGGGAGCAGCAGUGACCAUCUACACUGGGAGCUUAGCUCACUUUCUUUUCUUCAACCUUCUGGGUCCUCUGUCUCCUGACUGCCCCUGAAUCACCUGAAGGCAUACGCAGAGGGAUACCAAGUAGUGCUUCUGGCCUGAGCAAUAAUAAUAAUCAACUUUAUGGGGUUUGAUUUUUGUUUCUUCAUGUAUGAAUUUCUUCACCUAAAGUGAGUCUUGGAAGGCCGUCCAUGUCUGGAGUCAGAAAGUCUGAGCUCAGGGUCCUUUGUCACUCCCUUCCCACAAUUCUGUGAGCUGGUUUUGCAUCCCCUAUGACACCAAGGAUGCCAUAGGGCUCAUGUGCCACAGACCAAAAAUAUUAAAGUGUGAUAGUUGCUGCCAAGGGUCUAUCCAGUUCUUGAGGAUUCCUACACUGAAGUUGUGAGACAAAGCUUCUCAGAAGACAGGAAGAGACACAGGGGGAAGUAUGAGAGGCAAAUGGCCUAUAGAGUGUAAAGGAAUAAAAAGAUUAAAAAAAACACCCACCCAAGGAGUGACAGAAACGAGUCCUCGCUGUGCCAGAGGAGGGACCUAAAGUCAAGACAAAGAGUUUGAAAGAAAGCGAGCAGGGUACUGUGAGAGGGGUUGAGGGGAGAAAGAAGAAAGUGUCUGGAUACAGAGGUGAGGACACAGACUUGAUCUGGUGGGGCCUCAAGUCUAGUGAGGAGAGACUAUGGACAUGGGGAGAAGGAAAAAGGAAAGAAGGGAAGAUGAUUGAUGGAUGGGUUGGCAUGAACAGAUGAUUGGAUGGACAGAUGGAUAAAGGAUGGAGGAUGGAUGGGUGGAUAGAUGGAUGGAUGGAUGAUGGAUGAUGGAUGUAUGAUGGAUGGAUAGAUGGAUGGAUGGAUGGAUGGAUGGAUGGAUGGAUGGAUGGAUGGAUUGAUGCUGUUGAGUGAGUGUAUGGGGGGAUGGAUGAUGGGUGGGUGGAUAGAGAGAUGUAUGGAUAGAUGGAGGAAUGGAUGGAUGGAUGGAUGGAUGAACGGAUGAUGGAUAGAUAGAUGCUAUUGGGUAGAUCAGGAGAAAGGAUUCCAUAGUUCCUGGUGUUGAGUGAAGACCCUGUGAUGUGCAGAGAUCCAUACUUGAGUUCAGGUGUCUUGUGUAUACAAGCAUCCCCCUCCCCCAUGAUCCACCUUGAGGGACUACUUCAGACAUGACCACUUGCUGGUUUUGCUACUAGGUUCAGGCAGAGUCAUUCUCUAUAGAAUAUGGAAGCAGAAGAGACCCAAACACUGAGGCUUUUUAUAGGUUGUCCAAGAUUUUCCUAGCUGCAUGCAAUAUAGAAUGGGGAUUUGUGCUACCUCCGGUCAAGGUUCCCCAAGGUGCCGCCAGGCACACUGGUACUAUAAUGGGACAAAAAUGGAAAACACUGACACACAGUAAUGUUCGUCUGUCGACAGCCGCUAUAAUCUUUGCUGUCAGAGGAAUGAGAGCAAGUGCAAAUGAGUAAGGAACCAGGAGGCAGGCCAGAUACCUACCUGAACAACACAGUGAUGCUCCAAGGUACUCAGAGCCUAGCGGGAGACUGCAAAGAACCAGGAGCCCAUAGCUUCUACAUGGUCAGUGGGAUCACAGCUUGUGAUGGGAGGACCCUGCUGCACCAAUGGGGCUCUUUAGAGCUUUCUCUGCACUGGUCCCCAACAGAUCAGGCAUGGAGCUGACAUCUGUUGGCUAACACUGACUCUUGUAAACUUGGCAGUUGAUUCCCUUCUGGCCAAUAGCUGUUUGCUGCUAUGUUAUUUGCUGGGUGCUCUCAUGACUCAAGAGCUUUAAACAAUGCCUAACCCAAAAUAACACCACCAGAGAUACAGACCGUGUGCAUAAACCCCCUCAAAGGACAGCGAAGGCUUUGCACUCCAGUGGCUAGCACUGGAGUUCAGCUUGAGAGCUGGAGGGAAAGGUAGGCAGAGGCUAUGCUGUAAUGUCUGAGCCAUCUCUGCAGUGGAGAGGGGAGAGAAUCAUUGGUCCAGCAUUUGGCUCUUCUGAACACAGAGCCGAAGGUCUGGGCUUCUCAAGAAUUCCUGGGGCUGAGAAGACCAUCAACAUUUCCUGGAAGUUUUUACACUGCCUGGCCUGUCAUAUCGUGCCCUCUCUUACAUCAGAAAUACCACUGGGACCAAAAGCUUCCCUGGUUAUCCGGUAGAGCCGACAGCAGUCUUGGCCACCAUGGAGUGGCUCUGUCAGAUGCUGAGCCUACACAAUGGCUUCACUGUGUCAUACACAAAUCCUUCUUUUCGGACAACAGUGGCUUUCCCAUUGGUCUGGUCGUCUUGUCUCUGAAGAUGGUGCCCAUGGGAGAGAUCACGGGGAAAGAUCCACCUUCCAAGUGAGGCUCUGCAGUUUCCAGUGUUCAGUGGGAGGCUUUGCUGUAAAAUUCUAAGGAAAGGGACUAGCACUCCCUCUGGCCAGGGAACUGCAUGUGCUCAAAGCCCUUCAUAUCUCAAUUCCGGCAUCCUGACCGUCGUCUACCUUCACGGUCAGAUGAGUGCAAGGGACAGAAGCCAGCUCAGCUCAGCAGACAGGAUCACAGUCACAUUCACAUUACCCAAUGGAGACCUGCUAUACAGCCCGUGUUAGCAGCUGGGCUUCCACACCACAUUGCCACUUCUGAAGGCAGGAGGGCUCGUGAGAGUCAGGGUCACAUGAUUAGAGCACUCCCACCCUCUGACGGGUUAAGUGUGUAGGAUCCAGUCUAGGUUACCCGGGCUUAGAGGAGAAGGCUGCUUCCAGGAGGUGGAGUAGAAAUGGACCGUUAGGAGUUGGCAGGGGUUUGCAGUGGCGAAUUUAUUAAACAUUCUUGAGCACGUACAUGGAUCUCCUAUGAAUAGAAAAUUUCUUUCGUCCCCAGCAAACUCGGGGAAGAUUAAACAUGAGACUGUGGUUACUGUCAGGAGGGUGCUGGCGUCGGGUCUGUCUUUGGGUGAUCUUCAGUUCCGUUUCUACUGAUAACCCCUUAAUACUGCUCCAGGCUAGCCAGAGCAGGUGGCUGAGGAGCAGAAAGGCACAGCCCUUCCAGAGAAUGCUUAGUCAGAGUUUCCAAGGAGAUGGCUGGUGGCUGUUUAGGUGGUGCCGCGAGGCGCCAAGGCAGUUCUGUGAAGUACUUGCUUCCUUGAGUGGUGUUUAGGCACCUGAUCUAGUUUCUACAAGCUAUGAGGACGCCAGUGAAUGCUGCAGGAUUUGAGGGGACCCCCCUCAUAAGCAGGAGGC